ensembl:lncRNA novel transcript, antisense to C18orf42
CGGCGGGCGGGGCGGUCAGCACCCCGGACAGCUCCCGCCGCUAGAUCCUGGGGCCGCAGCUCCAGCCGCCGCCGCGCGCUCUGCCUCCACAAUGCGGCCACAGCGGCGGCGGGAGGAGGAGGGUGAAUCCCCGCUCAGUCCAUCCCUCAUUCCUGUGCCAGCUCGGCGACGUACACUGCUGCUUAGGGAGCAAAGCACUUCCACCGCUUUCACGCGACGAAGGUCGGAAGAGCAAGAGAGAGAAAGGAAUAACUUAAUUCACUGAUAAGUUUGGAGGAAAACCUGAUCAUGGAUUGUCCCACUCCUUCUUCUCUCCUUGCCUUUAAGGAGCUGGCUGCCUACAGAAAGCCUGUGUUCUGCUCUGCUUCCCUAUGUGAAAAUUACCAGAGACAGCAUAACAAAGCAUGUGAUUUUCUGUGCUGCCUGUGACUCUGGUGGGUAAGUCUGCCUCAUUCUGGAAUUCAGUAUUAUAAAGCCCAUUUGUCUGCAGCUCUAAGACACAUUUGCCAAUAUCAGAUUUACCAGUAAUAAAGACAGUGUUUUAAUCUGUCUGCCUGACUCCUUUGCCUUAUCUCCUGAUUGGCUCAAAACUCUGGCCAGCAAGAAGAUCAACAGUUCAUCAGGCCACCUCAAAACCCAGUAUAUUAGAGCAUGAAUUCAGACACCUAUGGUCUGCAAGAAUACUUUCAACUUUAAAAAGAAGUCCAUGAUUUACAUUCCUGCCUGUCACUCAGAAGCCAAAAAAGAGACAGAAUGCCAUCGACUCAGAGAUAUUAAAAGUGGAAGAAGAAUAAGAUCAUCUGUUCACAGCUUUGUGAAGAGGAAACUAAAUCCCAGAGAAAGAAACCUAACAAGUGGCAGAACCAGAACUAUGACUCAGAUCUCUUGAUUCCCAUGCAGUCCAAGAAGGACUUUAUCUAUGAGAAGAAGGUAUUCAGUUUCAUUCAUUCCUGAAAAAGAAACAAAACAAAACAUUAAGCUGUCUUCCAGAGUAUUUGUCUCCAAGCUAUCCCCACUGUUUUCUUCACAUGCAUCUGUUGACCCAUUAUAUAGCCCAAAAAAAAUAUAAAAAUAAAGAAAAAGAAAAAAAGAGAGAGGGAGAGAACUGGAUAUUUAGCCACUUGAGUAAUGCCACACUUAAGCACUGAAGUACCUUUCGCUCAGUGAUUUUUACUUGAUCAAAGAAAAAGCCUAUUACUUCCUGUAAUUACCUGGGUAACUGAAGAAAUGUCUACUGAUGAUUCAUAAUAGCUAACCUCAGAAGAACCCUUACCAUUGUUUCCUUUGUGACUUUCACGUUCUUCUAACUGCUUUGAGCUGUAGAAGCCUUCCUCACUCUCAGGUGGUCUUACCUUCUUCUCAGAGAGAAUGAAGACUUCAGAAAGAAAUGUCCCUUCCCAGCCUGGACAACAGAGUGAGAUCUCAUCUCUACAAAAAAAUUUUAAAAAUUAGCCAGCCAUGGUGGCUCAUACAUGUUGUCCCAGCUUAUAAGGAGACUGAGGUGGAAGGACCACUCAAACCUGGGAAGUCCAGGUUGCAAUGAGCCAUGAUCACGCUACUGCGCUCCAGCCUGGGUGACAGAACAAGACC